GAGUCUGGGAAAAGAAGCACUCAAACGCCCAGCUUCCACUGCAGCUGGGGAUGAUCCUACGACAGUUCUGACCAAUGAGAUACAAGCAGAGAUUACAUAGAUUCUGGGAAAAUGGUGGAGUGCUAAGCAACAACACAGCUUCCCCAGCUUCGGAAUCCAGACCCUGGAAAAUAACACCUUGGAGAAGGAAGAAGGAGAGAAGUAGACCCCCAGGAACCAGGAAGGAUGUAAUGGGAAACUUAGAACCUACAGAGAAAUUGAAGAGACAGAACAGGGAAGGGACAAUCUGCGCUUUCCCCGCAGCUCCCUGCUGGCGGCGCCUAGGAAAGGGAGCCGAGUCUACAGAAACACAGCGGAAGCUGGGGACUCCACGGGCUUCAGGUUGGAACGUGGAAGCGGAACAGAUCGCUGUGAGCUGAGGGCAAGUGCAGGUCUCUGCUCCCCUGAGUCCUUUGACAGACGCAGCUGAUUAACCAAGAUGGUCAGAUUUUGGGGCUGAGACAAAGGACUAUAAUUACCUAUGCGCACAAUAUAUCACUGAAAAGCAACUAGAGGUCUCUAUAUUACCAACAAAGUCUUUAAACUAUAAGCCUCCACAACCUCAGGGCAAAACAAAAGAAACAAAUGAACAAAGACACGAGAAGACAAGGCAACGAAAUGCCUCCCAAAACUCCCAACUCCCCAAGGUUAAUCCAGGGAGCAUCAAGAGCCAGAACAGCGUAGGUCACACAACCAAAGUACUUGAAAGGAUAACAGAGGAGGUUAGAAAACAGAUCAAAGAGGUACUCAGUGGGAUCAGAGACGAUAUAACUAAACAGGUAAUGGAAGCAACAACUGAAAAGAUACAGCCGCCUUCAGAAGACACUAAUAAAAAGCUAGAUGAGCUAAACAAAAUGAUAUAAAACAUGAAUGGCAUGUUUAGCAAAGAAUCAGAGCCCGUGAAAAAUUUCAAUCAGAAAUCCAGAAGAUUAAAAGUCAUAUUUAAAGUAUGGGGAACAGAAGCAACCAAUGUGAGGGCAGAAUUUCAGAACUAGAAGAUGGCAAUGCCUUCAAAGACCAACUACUCAAAGACAUAUUUAAAGCAACAAGAGAAGAUGAAAAAUGGAUCCUACAGCUGCUAAAGGAUGCAAAGAAGACUAAUCUAAGAGCAACUGGAAUAUAUGACAAGUCAGAAGGCAGCACAAAUGGCAUAAAAAACCUGUUCACAGAAAUAAUGGCAGAAAACUUCCCAUAUGUAGAGGAAAAAAUAUUCAUAUAAGGGAGGCAUGUAGAGCCCCAAAUAGCACCAGGGAUAUAGCUCAGUGGCAUGGUGCUUACCUAGCAAGCAUGAGGUUGUGAGUUUGAUUCCCAGUACCAAAAAAAAAAAAAAAAAAAAAGAACUCCAAAUAGCUACAACCAAAAGAGAACCUCUUUAUGCCACAUUAUACUGAAAGUACCAGAAGUCCAACAUAGGGAAAAAAUAUUAAAAGCUGUUAGAGAAAGACAAUGAAUCACAUAUAAAGGUAAAACCAUCAUAUAACAGUGAUAUAUGUGCACCCAUGUUUAUAGUAGCGCAAUUUGUAAUUGCUAAAUUGUGGAAGCAACCCAAUUGUCCAUCCACUGAGGAAAGGAUAAAAAAAUUGUGGUAUUUUUAUAUACUGGAAUAUUACUCUGCUAUAAAGAAAGAUAAGCUCAAAGCUUUCACAGGUAAAUGGUCACAACUAGAGACCAUACUCAUAAGUGAAAUAAAUCAGACCUACAUGUGUAAGCAACAUAUUGUCUCACUACUGUAAGAACCUGAAAGAGUGAAUAAAAAUUAGGAGGUAUGAUAGACAUUGUGAAAUGAAAGGAAACUGCUCAAAAGUAAAGAGCAACUGGGGUGAGGGAAAAGAGAAAAGAAAGAAGGGGAAAUUAUGUAUAUAUGUAUAUACAGGAUAGCUAACAUAACUGUACUACUGUCUUCCAUCACUUUACUGAAAGGAACAGUUAAUGAUUAAUUAUUUGAUCAGUUUUGCAUGUCUAUAUUUGUUUUCCUGAGAAACCACUUUGAAGAUAUCAAUAUGUAAUACAACAACCAUUGUUAAUUUGCUACUACUUUGUCUGUAAUUCAGAAUUGCUUGUAUUGGUCUUAUGCUAUUUUGUAAAUGGAUGUCUGUUUGUUAAUAUGUUUUCAUUCUUUUAUAUUUAAAAUAAAUUUUAAAAAUAGAUUACAUAGAAAUAUAAAAAAUUUUAAAGAGUUGGUAAAGAUAUUUCUAAGUUAAUUUUUUCUACAAUAAAAUGCCCACUCGGUAUGUCACCAUUCUACUACUAAUACAUUUGGUGAAAAUGAUUUCCAGCAGCCCAGCAUAAUUCCUUCUUCUAAUGGAAAGGCAAGAGGGAGGGAAUCUAUUUAAGCAUCAUGAAUUAUAACCCUAGGAAAUUUUUUGCCAUUUGGAUGGUUGAAUUCAUGAAGGCAAAAGCUACUAUUGACUUGUGAGGGGUUUUUUGGUUUUGUUCUGUUUCCUUUUUUGAGACAGGGUUUUGCUCUGUAGUUCAGGCUGGCCUUGGACUCACUACAUAGCCCAGGCUGACCUCAAACUCGUGGUGACCCUCCUGCCUCAGCCUUCAGUACUGGGACUACAAGUGUGCACCACCAUGCCCGGCA
rnacentral:lncRNA from 1 species